AUUGAACGCUGGCGGCAGGCUUAACACAUGCAAGUCGAGCGGAGAUGAGGUGCUUGCACCUUAUCUUAGCGGCGGACGGGUGAGUAAUGCUUAGGAAUCUGCCUAUUAGUGGGGGACAACAUUCCGAAAGGAAUGCUAAUACCGCAUACGUCCUACGGGAGAAAGCAGGGGAUCUUCGGACCUUGCGCUAAUAGAUGAGCCUAAGUCGGAUUAGCUAGUUGGUGGGGUAAAGGCCUACCAAGGCGACGAUCUGUAGCGGGUCUGAGAGGAUGAUCCGCCACACUGGGACUGAGACACGGCCCAGACUCCUACGGGAGGCAGCAGUGGGGAAUAUUGGACAAUGGGGGGAACCCUGAUCCAGCCAUGCCGCGUGUGUGAAGAAGGCCUUAUGGUUGUAAAGCACUUUAAGCGAGGAGGAGGCUACUGAGACUAAUACUCUUGGAUAGUGGACGUUACUCGCAGAAUAAGCACCGGCUAACUCUGUGCCAGCCGCCGCGGUAA
rnacentral:rRNA from 2 species